AGCAAAUCUCAUUGUUUUCUCUUUGCAGUGUGGUGUUUUGUGCAGCUGUUCAGAGCAUGUAAAAAUAGCUACCAUGCCAUCCUGGUUGUGUUGUACAUCACUUCUGUCGCAUCGGUGUAAUGAACUGAUCAAAGCACCAACUGGUGGAGAGGUUGGGGAUCAAACUGAGUUUUCACUGCGAGAUGGGGAAAAAAAUCACACUUGCUUUGGUGUCCAGAAGAAAGGCAGGUGUCAAGAGGUGCAAUGCUUCAUUUUAAAGUCACACUAGUCACAUGCAGCCUUUUCCCCACUGCACAGAAGUAGGCGAUACACCAGGGCAAGCUUGACAAUUCACCUCCAUGAGUGGAUUUUGUUUGUUCACUCCUACAAGCAAGUUCCAUGUCCCCAGAGAGUCCGCCCUGCUGCAGCUGAAACCC
rnacentral:lncRNA from 1 species